CAACCUAUUUUACAAAGCGAGAACCUGAUUUCCGCUUUCGUUUUAUUUCAUCUACAUUCAUCGGGAUCGGAUGGACGCGUGUUUCCUUGUGUGAAAAAAUCGUAAAAAGGUGGCAAAAUGCUCAUCAGAACAAGAUAUUCUAGCAGGACGACUAAUAAUGCUCAUCAGAACAAGAUGUUUUAGCAGGAUGACAAAUAAUGCUUAUCAAACUUCCAAAUUUAUACAACAUCUACAAAGUCUACAAAGAUCUGCAAAGCUGCUUAAUAUCAAUGUGGUGAACUGUGCAUCUAAUAAUUUUGUGCAAAUACUACGUUUUGCAGAAAGCAAAUCCAAGCAAAUUUUUUUUUCUGUUAUAUAUUUGUGUUCCCAUUGUUGAUUAUUAUAAAGUUCUCAUUUUUCUUCUA